rnacentral:misc_RNA from 1 species
UCGAAAUCGCCUCGGCGCACACCUCUACAUGCCGCAGAUCUCUCGCCAAGAUGGAGGCAAGAAAACAGCUUGACGGGCUAAGCUUCAAGGAGAUGAGGUUCAAGGUGUGCCGCUUCCUCGAAGAGCAAGGCGUCGUGAAUGAUCUUCGCGCGCGGUUGCGCUACAAGUUUGUCGAAGCACUCACAAUCACCACGCGAAGUGCCAAGCGCUCUUCGCGCACGCUUCUGCAUCAGAUGGUGACAACGAUGGGGUGAGCCUGCCUGGAUACUAUCUCAACUGUCACUGUCGUCAAGUGAAUGUCAGCACGCUUCUGCUCGUACUGAAACCAGAGUGAUGGACUUAGAAAAAUUGAUGAUGAUGUCCGGAAAUUCGGGACUAAGCAAAGAAGAGAUGCUCAAGUUAUAUGAGCAGGAAUCACAGAGGCUUAGAGAUGAGAGAACAGCAGCUUGUGAGGUGGCCCGACACGCAGAGGAGAGAGCUGUACGAAUUUAGCAUUGGAAAAAGAGAUAGCGACGUUGGAAAUAGGAAAUGCAUUGGAUGAAAAAAGUCACAGCUUUGCCGCAAAA